GCAACACAAAGUGAAACUGCGAAUGGCUCAUUAUAUAAGUUAUCGUUUAUUUGAUAUUGCCUAUCCUACAUGGAUAACAGUGGUAAUUCUAGAGCUAAUACAUGCUGAAAAUCCCGACUUCGGAAGGGACGUAUUUAUUAGAAUCAGAACCAAUGCCCUUCGGGGUUUUCUGGUGACUCAUGAUAACUCCACAGAUCGCAUGGCCUUGCGCCGGCGAUGGCUCAUUCAAAUUUCUUCCCUAUCAACUUUCGACGGUACGGUCUUGGCCUACCGUGGUUGUAACGGGUGACGGAGGGUUAGGGCUCGACCCCGGAGAAGGAGCCUGAGAAACGGCUACUACAUCCAAGGAAGGCAGCAGGCGCGCAAAUUAUCCAAUCCCGACUCGGGGAGAUAGUGACAAUAAAUACCGAUACAGGGCUCUUUUGGGCCCUGUAAUUGGAAUGAGUACAAUUUAAACCUCUUAACGAGGAACAAUUGGAGGGCAAGUCUGGUGCCAGCAGCCGCGGUAAUUCCAGCUCCAAUAGCGUAUAUUAAAGUUGUUGUGGUUAAAAAGCUCGUAGUCGAACCUCGAGCCUGGCCGGCCGGUCCGCCUCACCGCGUGCACUGGUCUGGCCGGGCUCUUCCCUCUGCGGAACCGCAUGUCCUUCACUGGGCGUGUCGGGGAGGCAGGACUUUUACUUUGAAAAAAUUAGAGUGCUCAAGGCAGGCCAAUGCUCGAAUACAUUAGCAUGGAAUAAUAGAAUAGGACGUUGGUUCUAUUUUGUUGGUUUCUAGGACCGCCGUAAUGAUCAAUAGGGACGGUCGGGGGCAUCAGUAUUCAGCCGUCAGAGGUGAAAUUCUUGGACCGGCUGAAGACUAACUACUGCGAAAGCAUUUGCCAAGGACGUUUUCGCUGAUCAGGAACGAAAGUUAGGGGAUCGAAGACGAUCAGAUACCGUCGUAGUCUUAACCAUAAACUAUGCCGACUAGGGAUCGGGCGGCGUUCUUUCUAGACCCGCUCGGCACCUUUCGAGAAAUCAAAGUGCU
rnacentral:rRNA from 1 species